GAGUUUGCACGAUGCGUUGGUACCUAUCAAGGUGUAAAAGGGAAUCCGAAAAUCGGAGCUGUCCCCGCAACUGUACACACGGACGACCGCUGAGAAAAGCCACUAUGGAGACAUGGGAAGGCUUGGCGGAAGGAUGAAGUGAAGCCAGGAGACCUGCCAGACAUCGUCAAAGCAA
rnacentral:ncRNA from 2 species